rnacentral:rRNA from 1 species
UACGUAGGGUGCAAGCGUUGUCCGGAAUUAUUGGGCGUAAAGAGCUCGUAGGCGGUUUGUUGCGUCGGCUGUGAAAUCCCGAGGCUCAACCUCGGGUCUGCAGUCGAUACGAGCAAACUAGAGUGUUGCAGGGGAGACUGGAAUUCCUGGUGUAGCGGUGAAAUGCGCAGAUAUCAGGAGGAAUACCGGUGGCGAAAGCGACUCUCUGGACGGUAACUGACGCUGAGGCACGAAAGCGUGGGGAGCAAACAGG